rnacentral:lncRNA from 1 species
GUUAUCUUUACCAGAAGGUGGGCACUCUGCAGCACAGGAGAAAACAGACCAAAUAUCCCUGCCCAUGAAGGCUAUGCAGAGACAGAUCAUAAACACGUAAAUAAGGGUCCAUGUGUCUGGGGUUGACCAGGUCAGCGUGGGAGGAAAAGGCAGGAAGGUGAGCUGGUGUGACAAAUGCUUUGUUUAUUUAUCAAUUUUUUUUAAAAAAAAAUUGUUCUUUUUAGGUCAACGUGACAGUAGAGGGUAUUUUGACAUAUUCUGCAUACAUGGAGAAUAACAUCCUAAUCAGGAUCCCAUUCUCGUGGGUUGUAUGACAUGGAGUUCCACUGGCCGCAUGUUCAUACAUGAGCACAGGAGAGCUCUGUCUGAAGCAUCCUCCUGUCUUUCCUAGUCCCCUGCCCCUCCCUUCCCUGGGGAUGCUAUCGUAGGUAAGGGAGCACGUGAGGUUAUCUAGGAUGCCCUGUAUUGCUAAUAUUUUUGCAGUACAGGGGUGAAACCCAGGCCUUGUGCAGUCGAGGCAGGUGCUCUACCACUAGCUACACCCCCAGCCCUAUCCCUUUAUUUGAGCCAGAAUUUCUCUAGGUUGCCCAGGCUGGCCUCAAACUCCCAGGUGGAAGCAAUACUCCUGCCUCAGGUGGCUGAGACUACAGGUGCAUGCCUCCCUAGCGUCUUGUUCCUUUUUAUGGCUGAGUAAUACCCCAUUUGGGUGGAGGUAUGGCAGUUGCUUGUUGAUUGACAUCUCAGCUGUUUCCAGUUUCUGAUGAUCACGAGUCAAGCUCUCAUAAACAUUGAUGCACGUGCUGGUGUGAACAUGUCCCUUCAUUCUUUCCUAACGGUGGAAUCGCUAUCUCACCUUGGAGGGAUGUUUAAAAUUUAAGAACCUGCCAAAUUAUUUUCAAAAGGGAUUUACUGUCUACAUUCUGACCGGCCAAGAAUGAGAGUCCAGUCGUUCCACCUUCUCGUCAACCCUGGGUACCGUCGGUCUUUUUCAUUGUAGCCCAGGUGUGCAGUGGUACCUCGUUAAGGUUUUUAUAUUUCUCCCUGUCGACACUGAGCCUCUUUCUUGGGCUCAUUUGCCAUCCACAUUAGGGUAUUUGAUGAAGAACCUGUUCAAAUCUUUUGUCCGUUUUUGAAAAAGUGGAUUGUUUAUAUUCUUCUUAUUGGAUUUUGAGAGCUCUUUAUAUAUUCUGGAUGAAAUCUAUUUCAAACA